AUAAUGACAAGAAGUCCAUUCGCGAAAUCAGUGAAAUUGUUGGAAAAAAAGGCCAUAGUGCAUAAUAUUAUUUAAAGGUUAUAAAGUAACUGGCAAAGCAUGUGAUUAAAAGCGAAAUUGAAAGAACAGAUGGAAAAUUGAUGACCGCAAUUGUAGUUAAGUUAUCUGAUACAGACUUGAAAAAACAACUUCAAAAGGAAAAAACGUAGAAAUUUGUGCGGAAACGAUUUGCCGGCAAGUUUUAUGCUAUGGAGAAUCGCCGAAAACCACUUAGCUCGAUAAGACUCAAAAGUCUAGGUUGGUCUUUGCCAAAAAGUAUCAACAUGAAAACUUGGAUUUUUGGACUAAGUCCUAGGUUUUACUUCCAGAAGAAACCAAAAUAAAUAUUUUGGAUCAGAUUGUAAGCGUUUUGUGCAGGGAAUACCUGGAUAUGAACUGUUGGACAAGAAUAUUAAAAAAUAGGUGAAUGUGGAAUGUUCGGAAUUGGUUUUUAAUUUCAAUGUCUAUAAAUGUGCUUCUUACAUAUUGUAGGGCUACAAAGUUUUUUUUGCAAAAUUCUCCUUAAAUAAUAUUCUAAACAAUAUUGCAA